ACUUUAUAAGAAACUUAUAAAUCUUUUAGGAAAGGUUGAAGAUAUAAUAAGGGCCUUAUUUUGUUGGGGUGACAGGGCAAUAAUAUAACUUGCUUUUUACUCUACACUGAUAGGUGAAACUAUGAACCAUAUAUAAUGAUUAAAAAAUUAAGU
rnacentral:rRNA from 1 species